rnacentral:lncRNA from 1 species
AUGGCCCAACACGAUGAGAUCGAAAGGCCUUGUCUGCGAAUCACAGGCUUACUUGUGGUCAUCAAACACCUAAGUUGUUCGGGCAGAAGAGAAGCAGGGAAGUCCUCACAGUGUCUGUUCUGGUCGACCUUGCAAGUUAUAUGGAAGAGAGGACCCCAGAAAAAGCAACCUCUUCCAAUUGACUUCCAACCCUGUCUUUUUCUGCCCCUAAAAAUGGCUCUGGAGGUGACUUUGAGUACAAAAUGGAGAGCCGGCAAAGAGGAGUAAAUAGUUGGAUGACUUGCAGAGACAAGAGGCGGAAACUCACAAUCGGUAAAAGGAUGAUUUUUUUUAAAUGGUAUUUGUUAAGCACUUAUUAUGUGCCAGCCACUGUACUAAGCACUGGGGGAGAUGCAGCUUGGACACAGUCCCUGUCCCACAUAGGGCUCACAAUCUUAAUCCCCAUUUUACAGAUGAGGUAACUGAGGCAUGGAGAAGUUAAGUGACUUCCCCAAGGUUACAAACAGACAAGUGGCAAACCUGGGAUUAGAACCUAAAUCCUUUUGACUCUCAGACUCGUGCUCUAUCCACUAGGCCAAGCUGAUGUGAUGAAUCAUUUUUCCAUUUUAAAGCAAAAGAUUUUAGUGGAUGGUUCCAAUUCAUAGCCUCUUGGCUUUGGAGCAUUCUGCCCCCAUGGAGGUAAGGGCUGCUAGGGGGAAGAUGGAAUAGGUUUUUUUUAAUAUUACUUUAAAUAUUCAAUCAAUCAAUGAUAUCAAGGACGUUUCAGCUAGGGGGAGGGACAUUUUCAGAGAACUUAAAGGGAAGUAAAACAUUGAAAUGAGUCAGUCCAGAAUUAGUAGUUAGGAGUUAUAUAGGGAGGUGGGGAGAGACAAAGAAGGCUGGAUAGCCUCAAUUGCCUAGUGGGAGGCUUUGAUACUGAGGUGAAGAGCUGGGCGUUCUGAUGGUUGAGGGUUGAGACUGACAUUCUGGUGCCCUGUUCAAAUGGGGUAAGUGGAAAAUGCUUUUUCUGAACUUUAAAAUCUUGCAAUGGAGAGAUUCAAUGAAUUAAAUAGGCUCAUAGGGGUCUAGCAAUCAGUCAAUCAGUGGUAUUUAUUGAGUGCUUUAUGUGUGCAGAGCCCUAUAUUAAGCACUUGGGAGAGUACAAGACAGCAGAGGUGGUAGACUUGUUAGCUGUGUGACUUUGGGCAAGUCACUUAGCUUCUUGGUGCCUCAGUUACCUCAUCUGUAAAAUAGGGAUUAAGACUGUGAGCCCCACCUGGGACAACAUGAUUCCCCUGUGUCUACCCCAGCACUUAGAACAGUGCUCGGCACAUAGUAAGUGCUUAACAAAUACCAACAUUAGUAUUAUUAUUAUUAUUAUUCCCUGCCUAUAAGAAGUUAACAAUCUAGGAGGGGAGACUCUGUUAUCCUGUACUCUCCCAAGUGCUUAGUACAGUGUUCUGCACACAAUAAGAGCUCAAUAAGUACCACUGAUUUAUCGAUUGUGUAUAUGAGAUUUGCAUAUAAAUGCUGUGAGCCUGACUGUGGGGUGAAUAUUGUGUUUAAAUGAAACAGAUCCAAGUGCAUAGGCGACACCGAAGGGAGCUUCCAUUGUUUCCAUAGUUACAGAGAGUGUUCCAGGCUAUCCUGGGUUUCAAGUUGCAUAUAAGUUUUGCAUACCCUUUAGAUCACAGAAAUAAACUUGAAUGGAAUUGUCUUGCCUUCUGCACAAAGACAUUUACACGUUUUAUACUUUGAGG